rnacentral:lncRNA from 1 species
AACUAACUCUCGCCGUCGACGUAUCUCUGAUGUACAUUUUAUUGAAUCACCAAACAAUGUCACAAGUUAUGUAGGUCAAACUACCGUACUUGAGUGUAAUGUGAAAAACUUAAGAGGAAAACAAGUAGCAUGGCGGAAACUACCAUCCACUAGUCCCUUAACGAUUGGAACUUUUGUAUUUGAACCAGAUCCAAAAUAUAAAAUACGCAAUGACAAUAAACGUGAACAAUGGGAUCUAAUCAUUGAAAAUGUGGAAAAAAAACAUGCUGGAACCUAUGAAUGCCAAAUUCCUUCAAAUACAAAAAUAGCUGUUCAAGUCAAUCUAACAGUAUUAGACAGAUCACCAGAAUCUAGAAAACAUG